rnacentral:rRNA from 1 species
AGCAGCCGCCACGGUAAUACGUAGGGUGCGAGCGUUAAUCGGAAUUACUGGGCGUAAAGCGUGCGCAGGCGGUUUUGUAAGACAGGCGUGAAAUCCCCGGGCUCAACCUGGGAAUGGCGCUUGUGACUGCAAAGCUAGAGUGCGGCAGAGGGGGAUGGAAUUCCGCGUGUAGCAGUGAAAUGCGCAGAUAUGCGGAGGAACACCGAUGGCGAAGGCAAUCCCCUGGGCCUGCACUGACGCUCAUGCACGAAAGCGUGGGGAGCAAACAGGAUUAGAUACCCGUGUAGUCCCUGUCUCUUAUAC